GGGUAUAGCUGAGCGGUAGAGUGAGUGCUUGGCAUGCACGAGGUCCUGGGUUCAAUCCCCAGUACCUCCA
rnacentral:tRNA from 1 species